rfam:Danio rerio chromosome 6, GRCz11 reference primary assembly.
UUCAUUUGAAAAUGAAUUUUGAAGUAGUUUUGAUCCAAAUCUUUGUGCUUACCAAAUGAAAUUAUUAUGUAGGCUAAUGGAUGCUUUCAAUGGAGUGUGUACAACACCAUUUCCUUAUUCACAAAAGUAAAGGAGUAAAGAGUAAUAGUAAAGAGAAAGUAAAAAGG